CGGAGGAGGCCGGAAGUUUGCUGAACCCGGACAGAAGAAAAAGAACUCAUUCUGGAGAGUCCCAGCAGGUGGCGGAGCCCUUUCACGCAUGCUCUGCGGAGACCCCUGGAGUCCCCCUGUAAGCAGGGCAGGUUGAGGUGAUGGGAGAAGAGAGCUGUCAGCCCCACUUCUCUAGAUUUAACUGGAAAGAUGGUCUUUUAGUUGUUUUACACACUGGAUUCAGCAGCUAGUAAAAGCUUGAAGACCAGUUCGGCUGCAGAAGGAAACACGUGUGCAGGUGCCAGAGAGGCUGCCUGAAGACAAGUGUUCACCGAAUGCAGGGGCCCCACGUCAGAGCACUGCCCUGUGUCCAGCUCC